CGCGUAGGCGGCUUUAUAAGUCAGAUGUGAAAUCCCACGGCUCAACUGUGGAAGUGCAUUUGAAACUGUGAGGCUUGAGUAUCGGAGGGGAGUGUGGAAUUCCCGGUGUAGAGGUGAAAUUCGUAGAGAUCGGGAGGAACACCGGUGGCGAAGGCGACACUCUGGACGAAUACUGACGCUGAGGCGCGAAAGCGUGGGGAGCAAAAA
rnacentral:rRNA from 1 species